rnacentral:lncRNA from 1 species
ACUUUGAAUUCUAUGGGGGACACUCAUAGUAUACAACUAAGGAAACCCUGUCUAGGCCUCAGGGAUACUCACCCCAGGCUGGCUUCAGCAUUAAGAGAGAGCUGCUCCUAAGACUGCUUGCCCUUCUGUGUACUGGCACCACAGCAAGUUUCCAAAGGCUAUGCACAUGUGUUCAUACAGAUGUGUCUAUGUAUCCUUUUGCUUUUUUAAGUUUGACUUUUAGGCAAAUAUUUGUUUUUUUUUAAAUUCAAGUCAGAUAAAAAGUACAAAUACAUUGGCUUCCCGUAAUAUCUCAUGAUUACUCUUCUAUGAUGAGGAGAGACAGAGAUAAAGCAAAGAAAUGAUAAUGAAAUACAAGAGUGUGUGUGUAUGGGUAUGUGUAUGUGUGUGUGUGUGUACGUGUGUAAGGAGCAUGUGUGUGUAUGUGUUUUGUGUUGGUGUAUAAAUUACAUGUAUAUAUGUAUAUAUGUAUGUACAUCUAUCUAGAUGUAUAUAUAGAUUGCUAUAUAUCUAUACAUAUUUAUACACAUAAACACAUAACUUGAAACUUUAAAAUUUUCAGUUUAGGAAAUUAAUUAUCACAUUUUAUAUUAGUUUCCUAGAUAGUUUAUUGUAGUUCUGGUUUCCAGAAUUCUCUUCUACUAUGAAUGUAUAUAUUUAUUAAUGAUACAGAGAAUAUAAUACAAAUACCUAUAAAAAACAAAGAAAUAAACAAAAAUGUAUUUAGAAAAAUGCCAUACCAUUGGUUGGAAUUUCAACCUAUGCGUUUCAAAAUUGUCCACUUCAGAAACAAAACAAAAGAAAAAGAAACAAGAAACCACCAAAUAAAAGUAGGGCUUUUUAAGAAUAAAAAAAAGAAAAUGAACUGAUGGCACAAUCUUAUAGUCCUAUGCUAUUACAUCACCUGUUGAUUAAAUUGCCGUCUCCUAGUUCAUGGGGUCUGUGCAGCCUGCAUGAUUCAGAGUGGAGCUAGUUAUCUGUUUAAAUUAUUUUGAAGUUAUAACAAUCAGUUUCAAAUAUGCUUUUUAUAAAUAGCUGCCAAAAAUAUCUAGGGCACAGUGAAGUGAUAACCAAACAGGCUCUAGCCUUCUGCCAAUAACUCUCUCAGCCUGUUUACACAAGCACCAAAUUGUUGCUCAGUGAGGAAAGAGAGAGCAGAGUCAAAGAAAAGAAAGCAGGACUUGUUUUGAUAUUCUAUAGACAGAAGAGCCAACUGUCUAAAUUUGCGGCAAAAUGUAGGCUAUCUUCACAGUCAGAGUCAAGUGCUUUGGUGAUUGCAGGAGAAUCUUGUUAGAGGAGGUUGAAGCCAAUCUACGAAUGCUUCCCCGGUGCUUCUUGGGUUCAGUAUGUAAGCACAUUAACUCUGACCCUUCAAAGCCAGUCUACUCCCCAAACCAAGGCUCAGUUGAUAGAGCAUGACUUCUUCUCUUGGGAACCUAUCCAAAGUGCUCACUGAGCCAGAUACCCAGGCACACUAGUGAGCAACUGAAUUCCAGAAGUCCUCUGCAGGUGUGGUGUUGAAGGCUUGAGGAAAGAAAAUGUCUUUUCUUUAUGCUUUAAAAUCAAACGUUCUAACAAGGUUCAAGAAUUCCCAACAUUUUGGAGUGGAAGGGGAACUUUAUAUCAUGGGCUCUUUCACUUUUCUUUUUUCUUUCUUUCUUUUUUUUUUCAAUUUGUCCUUGCAAUUUUUUCCACUUAUUAACUCUUAUUUUUUUUAAGGGAACUGAAUCAGGAGAAUUUUCCUAACAUCUUCUAUUUAAGUUAGAGAAUAACGUGGCAAUGGCGUUUUGGAAUGCAUGCGGGGUGGGGAAGUACAGGAAUCAGCCCUGCUCAUAAGGAACUAGCCUAUGCAAUUAUUGAAAUGGCAUCCUAUUUAAAACACUCAGAGACAAUGACUUACAAGGCCUUCCUUUCAGAAGUCUCCCUCAAAUUGGCUAAUGGGAUAAGCUUCCAGUGGGACACACUUUAGGCUGGUACUAGUGUUCAGCUAAGUCCAUAAAAGAACGACUCUUUGUGAUCGUGAGAGAAAGUUUAAAAGAAAUUAAGUUCUCAUUCCCCACAUUUUACAUAAGCAGCAGAGCACUAGGUAGAGCCAAUAAACAACAACAACAUCAACAAACACCUUUCAAAUUAAAUGUACUGUUUACACAAUAUUCACGUUCCCCCUUGACCCUUCUUAACUCUGGGGCUGUGUUGAGUAGGCAACCUGGAUUUCUACAGAUACAUUCAGCACGGAUUAUCACGUUUCUUUUUGCAUCUAUCUCUGAUGCUUUGAAAGUGAUGUCACCACGCAUGGAGGCGGCUAAACAUUGCUGGAACUAACACCGAGUGGUCACUGACAGGGGCCUUGCUCAUGUUCCUUUUUGUGCUGGCCUCAUUGAGCCAUUUGAUGAUGGGCCAGUUUGUUGCACAUUGAUAUAUACUAAGUGACACUCAUUGAAAUAACCUCUUCUCUUUCCCAAUGCAGUUUGCUUGUACAUAAGUGUAAUGUCAACUUGUUUACAGGUUCUUUUGUGUAUAAUUGUGAUAGCGGAUUUAGCUCAAGCCCUAAUGGGAUCUGUUUACUGAAUGGUGUUAAAACGAAUGUGCUUAUUACAGUAUAAACAUCAUUAAUUAUGGACUCACAUGAAUGCAUGUCUACAUCUCAUCAAUUUCCAGCAGCUCAGAGAUUCAACAGGAGUCUGCAGUCUGUGAAUAGCAAACAUACAUAAACUGCUUUGACUGAUAACUUAGUAACUGUUUUAUCUUGCUUUGUAACAUUGUAGAUCUUAGCCUGCUGUAUUUCUUUCUUAUAUAUUUAAUUUUUGAGAGAAACAUAGUAAAAAAGGAAACUACUGAGGUCCCAGGAAAAUUGCACAGCAUUUUGGCAAUCGUUGGUCUAUUCAAAAUGCUAAUUACUACCAUCCAUCCUCACUGCCAAUGGAAACAAACUAUUUUCUUUGGAAUCACUGAAGGAUACAGAAAGAAAUAAUUUUUUAUUGACUACUUUCAUAUUUUGUUUCAUUCUUAUAGUAGGGUAGAUGAUACAGGUGCAGUAACCGUAUUGUAAAACUGUGUGGCAAAAACUACAAAAGUAAUUCUGUGGAUAUAUUUUAAAAGGCAGAACAGAAACUAUAUUUCAGAUUCUUGUGUGAAUAUAAUUACAAAAAUAGGUAACUAUUUUUAUGUGUUUCCAUAAUGACUCCAUUUCAUAUACAUUGUAAUUUAGCACCAAUCAUAAUAAAUCAUUUGGUAACAUUUA